AAAUUGUAAUACCUUUUCACACAUUUUUCCAAAAUUUUCCUAUUCUAACUUUUUUUACUUAAAAUUGAAAACCUAAACACCUUCUCCCUCAUAGAAAACCUAAACACCUUCUCCCUCAAUCAGUCGCAUCUCUAGCUUUGUCGCUCACUCUUUCACUCAUGAUUCUAGCUCAGUUGCCCACUCCGUCACGUGUCACUCUAUUACUCCGUCGUAGGCAGCCCUAUCAUUCGUCGGAGUUGUUCGCAACUUUUAGGAGCUUCCACUUCCGAUUGUUUUCCUAACAUUUCACUUUCGAUUUGCUUGCACUCAUGGUACUGCAAUGUAAACUUUUAUCUAAUUUGUGAAUGUUGAAACCUAAUUUUGGAUAAUUUUCACAAAGCAAUCCAAAUAGAAAUGUGGCACUUACAUUUACCGUUUGAAAGUUUGGUAGUUUUUAUGAUGCUAAUGAUUCGUUGUAGGUGCAUUAUUCAUUCCAAAAUCAUGAAUGCUUUUGAACUUUUCUCUAUUUUGUUUUUGUUUUGUUUCAUUUUUCCAAUGAGUCUCUAUAAAGUCUCGACCUAGUGUUAGUGCCUGAGUUGGCACUAUGGUAGGUGUAUGCGGCUGGAAAAACUGAAUAUAUUUUGCAUAUUCAAAAUAGUUUUUCUUAGCAAUUAGUAUCUUGAUCAGAACUAACUAAAAACAAAGGCUCAAACUGGGUUUUCGAGUUUUUUAUUUUUUUUAUUACUGAAAUUGUGUUGGUGUAUGGUGAGUUUCUUAAGCAGCAAUCCAAAUAUAUUUUUAAAUUAUUGAAACGAGCCUCUUUGAUAUUCUUACUUGGUUUAGGAUUUUAACCCUUGUCCAAAACCAUCUUAAAUCAGGCUAAUGGAAGUUUUCUGAGUUUCUACCAUCUUUGCUUAAUGAUUCUUGUUUGUUUAGUUAUGAAUUGUUCAUGCCUCGGGCAUUUUUGCUUUAACACCCCUUGAUUAGUUAGCCUAUUCCUUUUAUUAAUGAAGGUUGUCCUGCAUUAACUACAUUGCCUAAUUUGGUAGCUUCACAAGGGAUGGAGUCCGAGAUCAUGCCUCUCAAAUGUCCAUUACAAGCUUCAUUGCCGAAUUUAGCUUCUUCUUGUGUUGGAUAGAUAACCUGUGUAAAUCAUGCAGAGUUCUUUCUUGGUUGUUUUCUCUGAUAUUGUUUUCUUUGACAGAUCAUGGCAGGAAACAUGUCUGAUCCAAGUGGGAGCAAGGGUGCAAAUAUUUUCAUUGUAUCUUCUUCCUUGUUUUGAAAAAAUUAUGGAAAACGCCCUUACAUUACCAUGAUUUUUCUACAAAACUUCUGUUAAUAAGGAUAGUUCUGAGAAGUUAGAAGGGACAUUCUCAUUGUCAAUUAUGCCUGAUCGGUUUGUAUUUUACUUGGAAGGACAUGCUCCUAGAGUUGACCUGCCCAUAAGAUCAGUAGAGAUAAGCUGGUCCACUCCAAAUAAUAAUGUUAUAAAAGACUCCAAUGGUGGCAACCUUGUUGAUAUGGAGCCUAGGAUGCACAGUUUUGGAAAUGGCUACAACUAAACCUCAUUGGAGUCAGCAUGAAAGGAUAGAUGAAGAGUUGCAGAGACACAAUGAACUUAUAUUUUGAAUGCCACCCCAAUUUCGGUGAUAAAACCAUAGAAAGUUCAAAAACAUUGUGGCCAAAAUUGCACUCGAUAUGAACCACUUCUAGAAUCUUGUUUACAGCUUCAAACAAGAUGAGAGUGAUUGAAUCUUCUCUU